rnacentral:tmRNA from 1 species
GGGGACGACCGGUUUUGACGGCGUGAGUGGUUGCGAGUAAAAGCAUGUCAGGAGUUGGUAGAACCUCCUGUUAAAAAUUCUUCCGAACAAUAACUGGCAAUACUUCGUAUGCCAUGGCUGCUUAAUUCCGGAGUGAAUUAAACUUUUAGCCACAUUCCGCCCCGGCCAACCUCUGCCGCGGGGAUUCCGGAGUGUCGACCUGCAGAGGCGAUUAAGUGCGGGGAACUUGUUCUUAAUUAGUAUUUAGGUUUCUAAGGAAAAGCUCUGGUAUGUCGGACACCUACCUUUUCUCGAAAAUUAAGACCGAAUAAACAUGUAGAAGGCUCGACAAAUGCCAUGUUCGGACCAGAGUUCGACUCUCUGCGUCUCCACAA